rnacentral:rRNA from 1 species
CAUGCAAGUCGAGCGGUUGACGGRAGCUUGCUCCCUGAUUCAGCGGCGGACGGGUGAGUAAUGCCUAGGAAUCUGCCUAUUAGUGGGGGACAACGUUUCGAAAGGAACGCUAAUACCGCAUACGUCCUACGGGAGAAAGCAGGGGACCUUCGGGCCUUGCGCUAAUAGAUGAGCCUAGGUCGGAUUAGCUAGUUGGUGAGGUAAUGGCUCACCAAGGCGACGAUCCGUAACUGGUCUGAGAGGAUGAUCAGUCACACUGGAACUGAGACACGGUCCAGACUCCUACGGGAGGCAGCAGUGGGGAAUAUUGGACAAUGGGCGAAAGCCUGAUCCAGCCAUGCCGCGUGUGUGAAGAAGGUCUUCGGAUUGUAAAGCACUUUAAGUUGGGAGGAAGGGUUGUAAAUUAAUACUCUGCUGUUUUGACGUUACCGACAGAAUAAGCACCGGCUAACUCUGUGCCAGCAGCCGCGGUAAUACAGAGGGUGCAAGCGUUAAUCGGAAUUACUGGGCGUAAAGCGCGCGUAGGUGGUUUGUUAAGUUGGAUGUGAAAGCCCCGGGCUCAACCUGGGAACUGCAUCCAAAACUGGCAAGCUAGAGUACGGUAGAGGGUGGUGGAAUUUCCUGUGUAGCGGUGAAAUGCGUAGAUAUAGGAAGGAACACCAGUGGCGAAGGCGACCACCUGGACUGAUACUGACACUGAGGUGCGAAAGCGUGGGGAGCAAACAGGAUUAGAUACCCUGGUAGUCCACGCCGUAAACGAUGUCAACUAGCCGUUGGAAUCCUUGA